rnacentral:rRNA from 1 species
GACGAACGCUGGCGGCGUGCUUAACACAUGCAAGUCGAACGGAAAGGCCCUGCUUUUGUGGGGUUCUCGAGUGGCGAACGGGUGAGUAACACGGGAGUAACCUGCCCUUGACUUGGGGAUAACUUCAGGAAACUGGGGCUAAUACCGGAUAUGAGCUCCUGCGGCAUGGUGGGGGUUGGAAAGUUUCGGCGGGUGGGGAUGGACUCGCGGCUUGUCAGCUUGUUGGUGGGGUAUUGGCUUACCAAGGCUUUGACGGGUAGCCGGCCUGAGAGGGUGACCGGCCAGAUUGGGACUGAGAUACGGCCCAGACUCCUACGGGAGGCAGCAGUGGGGAAUCUUGCACAAUGGGCGGAAGCCUGAUGCAGAAACGCCGCGUGCGGGAUGAAGGCCUUCGGGUUGUAAACCGCUUUCGGCUGUGACGAAGCGUGAGUGACGGUACCUGGUAAAGAAGCCCCGGCUAACUACGUG